GCACAGAAAAGAAUUGAAUUGCUAUUAAGAAGAAACUGGUAAACCUGCUGCUCAUCUUGAUGAUCUUGGUAACAAAAAUCACCUAGCAUCAACUAGAAAGAACACUUCUGGUAACCAGCCUAAACAUAAUAACCUUUUAGCCUGAGUCAUUAGUAUACUCAAACAAACUUGAUAAAUAUAUAUAUAUAUAUGAGAUGUAGGGGAAAGAAUUGUAGUUCAGGUAUGAUGGUCAAACUUUAACAUUGCAAACUAAUUACUAUUUGUAGGUAAUGAAUCAUAAAAGAAAGAUGAGAGUAGAGACAACAAUUUUAUAGUCUUUUUUCAAUAGGAAAACAAAGAUCAUCUGAUUACCUAUCAAUAAGCCAAAGAACUCCA
rnacentral:misc_RNA from 1 species